GACGGAAGGUGCAAGCGUUGCUCGGAAUCACUGGGCGUAAAGCGCACGUAGGCGGCUUGGUAUGUCGGGUGUGAAAUCCCCGGGCUCAACCUGGGAACUGCAUCCGAAACUGCCUUGCUAGAGUAUGGGAGAGGGAAGUGGAAUUUCCGGUGUAGCGGUGAAAUGCGUAGAUAUCGGAAGGAACAUCAGUGGCGAAGGCGACUUCCUGGACCAAUACUGACGCUCAGGUGCGAAAGCGUGGGGAGCAAACAGG
rnacentral:rRNA from 1 species